rnacentral:misc_RNA from 1 species
UACGGAGGGUGCAAGCGUUGUCCGGAUUUAUUGGGUUUAAAGGGUGCGUAGGCGGCCUGAUAAGUCAGCGGUGAAAGUUUCCGGCUCAACCGGGAGACUGCCGUUGAUACUGCCAGGCUUGAGAGACGGAGGGGUACAUGGAAUUUAUGGUGUAGCGGUGAAAUGCAUAGAUACCAUAAGGAACACCGAUAGCGAAGGCAUUGUACCGGCCGUUUUCUGACGCUGAGGCACGAAAGCGUGGGUAGCGAACAGG